UCUUCUGAAACUCAGUAGUGAGUGCUUGCCUGGCAUGCACAAGGCCCUGGGUUCGAUCCCCAGUACAGGAA
rnacentral:tRNA from 1 species